GUGUGUUCCAGGUAAAUCCGGUUCACUUUAACACUGAGGCGUGACGACGAGGCACUACGGUGCUGAAGCAACAAAUGCCCUGCUUCCAGGAAAAGCCUCUAAGCAUCAGGUAACAUCAAAUCGUACCCCAAACCGACACAGGUGGUCAGGUAGAGAAUACCAAGGCGCUUGAGAGAACUCGGGUGAAGGAACUAGGCAAAAUGGUGCCGUAACUUCGGGAGAAGGCACGCUGACAUGUAGGUGAAGUGAUUUACUCAUGGAGCUGAAGUCAGUCGAAGAUACCAGCUGGCUGCAACUGUUUAUUAAAAACACAGCACUGUGCAAACACGAAAGUGGACGUAUACGGUGUGACGCCUGCCCGGUGCCGGAAGGUUAAUUGAUGGGGUCAGCGCAAGCGAAGCUCCUGAUCGAAGCCCCGGUAAACGGCGGCCGUAACUAUAACGGUCCUAAGGUAGCGAAAUUCCUUGUCGGGUAAGUUCCGACCUGCACGAAUGGCGUAAUGAUGGCCAGGCUGUCUCCACCCGAGACUCAGUGAAAUUGAACUCGCUGUGAAGAUGCAGUGUACCCGCGGCAAGACGGAAAGACCCCGUGAACCUUUACUAUAGCUUGACACUGAACAUUGAGCCUUGAUGUGUAGGAUAGGUGGGAGGCUUUGAAGUGUGGACGCCAGUCUGCAUGGAGCCGACCUUGAAAUACCACCCUUUAAUGUUUGAUGUUCUAACGUGGACCCGUAAUCCGGGUUGCGGACAGUGUCUGGUGGGUAGUUUGACUGGGGCGGUCUCCUCCUAAAGAGUAACGGAGGAGCACGAAGGUUGGCUAAUCCUGGUCGGACAUCAGGAGGUUAGUGCAAUGGCAUAAGCCAGCUUGACUGCGAGCGUGACGGCGCGAGCAGGUGCGAAAGCAGGUCAUAGUGAUCCGGUGGUUCUGAAUGGAAGGGCCAUCGCUCAACGGAUAAAAGGUACUCCGGGGAUAACAGGCUGAUACCGCCCAAGAGUUCAUAUCGACGGCGGUGUUUGGCACCUCGAUGUCGGCUCAUCACAUCCUGGGGCUGAAGUAGGUCCCAAGGGUAUGGCUGUUCGCCAUUUAAAGUGGUACGCGAGCUGGGUUUAGAACGUCGUGAGACAGUUCGGUCCCUAUCUGCCGUGGGCGCUGGAGAACUGAGGGGGGCUGCUCCUAGUACGAGAGGACCGGAGUGGACGCAUCACUGGUGUUCGGGUUGUCAUGCCAAUGGCACUGCCCGGUAGCUAAAUGCGGAAGAGAUAAGUGCUGAAAGCAUCUAAGCACGAAACUUGCCCCGA
rnacentral:rRNA from 1 species